rnacentral:rRNA from 1 species
AUUUAUAAUCUGGCACCUUCGGUGUCCGAGUUGUAAUCUCUAGAAAUGUUUUCCGCGUUGGACCGCACACAAGUCUGUUGGAAUACAGCGGCAUAGUGGUGAGACCCCCGUAUAUGGUGCGGACGCCCAGCGCUUUGUGAUACAUUUUCGAAGAGUCGAGUUGUUUGGGAAUGCAGCUCAAAUUGGGUGGUAAAUUCCAUCUAAAGCUAAAUAUUGGCGAGAGACCGAUAGCGAACAAGUACCGUGAGGGAAAGAUGAAAAGCACUUUGGAAAGAGAGUUAACAGUACGUGAAAUUGUUGGAAGGGAAACGCUUGAAGUCAGACUUGCUUGCCGAGCAAUCGGUUUGCAGGCCAGCAUCAGUUUUCCGGGAUGGAUAAUGGUAGAGAGAAGGUAGCAGUUUCGGCUGUGUUAUAGCUCUCUGCUGGAUACAUCUUGGGGGACUGAGGAACGCAGUGUGCCUUUGGCGGGGGUUUCGACCUCUUCACACUUAGGAUGCUGGUGGAAUGGCUUUAAACGACCCGUCUUGAAC